ACUCCUACGGGAGGCAGCAGUGGGAAGUAUUGCACAAUGGGAAACCGGACUGNAGCCAUGCCGCGUGUGUGAAGAAGGCCUUCGGGUUGUAAAGCACUUUCAGUAGGGAGGAAGGUAGUGUAGUUAACACCUGCAUUAUUUGACGUUACCUACAGAAGAAGCACCGGCUAACUCCGUGCCAGCAGCCGCGGUAAUACGGAGGGUGCGAGCGUUAAUCGGAAUUACUGGGCGUAAAGCGCAUGCAGGCGGCCUGUUAAGUCAGAUGUG
rnacentral:rRNA from 1 species